rnacentral:tRNA from 1 species
GGAGAGGUGCCCGGAGCGGCCGAUCGGGGACCGGAACCUGGUCGGGUCUUAUGGCCUUCGCAGGUUCGAACCCUGCCCUCUCCG